GAUGAACGCUGGCGGCGUGCCUAAUACAUGCAAGUCGAGCGAAAAGACGAGGAGCUUGCUCCUCUGACGUUAGCGGCGGACGGGUGAGUAACACGUGGAUAACCUACCUAUAAGACUGGGAUAACUUCGGGAAACCGGAGCUAAUACCGGAUAAUAUAUUGAACCGCAUGGUUCAAUAGUGAAAGACGGUUUUGCUGUCACUUAUCGAUGGAUCCGCGCCGGAUUAGCUAGUUGGUAAGGUAACGGCUUACCAAGGCAACGAUGCGUAGCCGACCUGAGAGGGUGUUCGGCCACACAGGAACUGAGAGACGACCCAGGCUCCUACGUGAGGCAGCAGCAGGGAAUCGUCGGCAAAGGGCGAAAGCCUGACGGAGCAACGCAGCGCGAGUGAUGAAGGGCUUCGGAUCGUAAAACGCUGUUAUUAGUGAAGAACAAAUGUGUAAGUAACGAUGCACGUCUGGAGGGUACCGAAACAGAAAGCCACGGCAAACUACGG
rnacentral:rRNA from 1 species